GAUGAACGCUGGCGGCGUGCCUAAUACAUGCAAGUCGAGCGAAAAGACGAGGAGCUUGCCCCUCUGACGAUUGCCGCGGACGGGAGAGUCACCCGUGGAUAACCCACCUUUUAGACAGGGAUAAUUUCGGGAAACAGGAGCUAUUAACGGAUAAUAUAUUGAAUCACAUGGUUCAAUACUGAAAGACGGCUUUGCUGUCAAUUAUAGAUGGAUCCGCGCCGCAUUAGCUAGUUGGUAAGGUAACGGCGUACCAAGGCAACGAUGCGUAGCCGACCGGAGAGGGUGAGCGGCCGCACUGAAACUGAGACACGCUCCAGACGCCUACGGAAGGGACCAUUAGGGAAUCGUCCGCAAUGGGCGAAAGCCUGACGGAGCAGCGCCACGUGAGUGAUGAAGGUCUUCGGAUCGUAAAACUCUGUUAUUAGGGAAGAACAAAUGUUUAAGUAACUAUGCACAUCUUGACGGUACCUAAUCAGAAAGCCACGGUUAACUACGUG
rnacentral:rRNA from 1 species